CUGAGACCCAGUGGAACUGUUGCCCUGGACGACGGCUUAUUUCCUUCUGGCUCUGACAACACUCAUCUGGAGGUGUGCCCCUUACGGGAGCACAGUAUGCAGAAAAACGGAAAGGAGGGACCUGCUCCAUCUUGUAAGCUGACAUGAAGAAAGCCACUGUCAUCAUUUUCAAUGUUCUGCUGCCGACAAAGCGGUUCUGGAAUCCGCAGUGAGUGGCCACUCGAGAGCCAGGACCGAGCCUCGCCGCUAGGGGGAGUUCAGCUCGUAGGACCGGAAGUGCAAUUUAAUUUCUCAAACCUGGAAACCACAGAGGAGCUCAAAGUGUUUAUUGCAAGACUGGUGGAUCAUCCAGUUUCCCCUUUUGCAGAUGAAGAAACUGAGGUCCACCAAGGUUGGAGGACGUGUUGCCCAAUGUCACCCAGGACAUCAGGGCAGAACUGGGACUUGCCCUCAAGCUGAGUGUCCGUCCCAUCCCCGGGCAUCUCUGCCUUCUUGACACAGGAAAACCAAGUUUCUCGGCAGGGGGUGUGCACGAGAUAGUCCAGCCCGAGGCGGGUGCCAUAGAAGCCCUGCCCCCCACCGGCCCUGCUGGAAAGUUUCCAUUUCAGGGUUUGCCUUCUUCAUAGCAGUGUCUCAAACCCCUUAGUCCUUUAGACAAAAUAAUAAUGAUAACAAUCAUAACAAUAACAGUUGCAUAAGCCGAGCUGUGGUGGGGAACAGGAUUUACAAUUCGGAUUGUUUUCAGAAAACACCUCUGUAUUUAGCAAUAAUAUUAUGGAAGUAGCAAUAAAGUUAUCUGCUUCUCAUGAAGGGAAAGUGGGAGGACAACACAACUUUACAGAGUGCGCAAUACAGAACAAAGGGUCUGGGGGCCUCUGUCUGCCCUCAAGUUUUCAUCUACCACGUUCUGGCCGAAGAUAGAACGCCUCUCCUCGGCUUGUUCCCAGACACGUGCCCAGCUGCAUUUUUAGAGAGUGGUUUCGGGGGCGCCAGUGACCUGCAGCUUCCCUGAAGAUGUCAUGCGUCCUGUGGCUGUGCUCCCCCCCCCCCCCCCCCCCGCCCACUCAUGUGUGCUACCUGGUGAUUAGUCUUUGUUUCCUGCCUGGAAGUUGGCUUGAGAAGAAACUUGCUAAGAUAGGAAGGACACUGAGCACAUUAGGUUGGAAACAGCAAGAUGUGCACAGGGAUGGCCCUGCCGGUUUAUGGACAGCCCAUUAUGGCUGCUCCUGCCCUCUGAACCCAGGAAGGCCCAGAGGCCCAGGGCGGGUACACUACGAUGAAGACAGAAAAACAGACCCACAUAGAAAUCUCCAUGUCUUGGUGAAGGCUGAACGAUGACAAUCCCAGUGUUGCCCUCUUCCAGACGUCAAGGGCUGCAGCAUAAACCAUCACAAACUUAGAAACCACAACAG
rnacentral:lncRNA from 1 species